rnacentral:rRNA from 1 species
AUUGAACGCUGGCGGCAUGCCUUACACAUGCAAGUCGAACGGUAACGGGCCUUCGGGUGCCGACGAGUGGCGAACGGGUGAGUAAUACAUCGGAACGUGCCCGAUCGUGGGGGAUAACGAGGCGAAAGCUUUGCUAAUACCGCAUACGGUCUACGGAUGAAAGCAGGGGACCGCAAGGCCUUGCGCGGACGGAGCGGCCGAUGGCAGAUUAGGUAGUUGGUGGGAUAAAAGCUUACCAAGCCGACGAUCUGUAGCUGGUCUGAGAGGAUGAUCAGCCACACUGGGACUGAGACACGGCCCAGACUCCUACGGGAGGCAGCAGUGGGGAAUUUUGGACAAUGGGCGCAAGCCUGAUCCAGCCAUGCCGCGUGCAGGAUGAAGGCCUUCGGGUUGUAAACUGCUUUUGUACGGAACGAAAAGCCUUCUUUUAAUACAGGAGGGUCAUGACGGUACCGUAAGAAUAAACACCGGCUAACUACGU